rnacentral:rRNA from 1 species
UUGGUUAAGUUAGAAAGGGCGCACGGUGGAUGCCUUGGCACUAGGAGCCGAAGAAGGACGGGACUAACACCGAUAUGCUUUGGGGAGCUGUACGUAAGCGUUGAUCCAGAGAUUUCCGAAUGGGGGAACCCACUAUCUUUAGUCGGAUAGUAUCCUUACGUGAAUACAUAGCGUGAGGAAGGCAGACCCAGGGAACUGAAACAUCUAAGUACCUGGAGGAAGAGAAAGAAAAAUCGAUUUCCUGAGUAGCGGCGAGCGAAACGGAAAGAGCCCAAACCAAGAAGCUUGCUUCUUGGGGUUGUAGGACACUCUAUACGGAGUUACAAAAGAAAGUUAUAAAUGAAGCGGUCUGGAAAGGCCCGCCAAAGACGGUAACAGCCCGGUAGUUGAAAUGGCUUUCCCUCCAGAGUGGAUCCUGAGUACGGCGGAACACGUGAAAUUCCGUCGGAAUCCGGGAGGACCAUCUCCCAAGGCUAAAUACUCCCUAGUGACCGAUAGUGAACCAGUACCGUGAGGGAAAGGUGAAAAGCACCCCGGAAGGGGAGUGAAACAGUUCCUGAAACCGUGUGCCUACAAGUAGUUAGAGCCCGUUAAUGGGUGAUAGCGUGCCUUUUGUAGAAUGAACCGGCGAGUUACGAUUUGUUGCAAGGUUAAGCGGAAAAAGCGGAGCCGUAGCGAAAGCGAGUCUGAAUAGGGCGCAUAAGUAACAGGUCGUAGACCCGAAACCAGGUGAUCUACCCAUGUCCAGGAUGAAGGUAAGGUAAUACUUACUGGAGGUCCGAACCCACGCACGUUGAAAAGUGCGGGGAUGAGGUGUGGGUAGCGGAGAAAUUCCAAUCGAACUUGGAGAUAGCUGGUUCUCUCCGAAAUAGCUUUAGGGCUAGCCUCGAGGUAAAGAGUCAUGGAGGUAGAGCACUGUUUGGACUAGGGGCCCUUCUCGGGUUACCGAAUUCAGAUAAACUCCGAAUGCCAUGUACUUAUACUCGGGAGUCAGACUGCGAGUGAUAAGAUCCGUAGUCGAAAGGGAAACAGCCCAGACCACCAGUUAAGGUCCCCAAAUAUAUGUUAAGUGGAAAAGGAUGUGGGGUUGCUUAGACAACCAGG